rnacentral:lncRNA from 1 species
UUGUGUUUGGUUGAGAAUCUGGUAAAUAGUUAUAAAUCAUUCCAUCUCGCAAGAAAGUUCCCCUUGAACCGUUCUUUUCUCAGAAAGAUAAAACAAGUAUUCUGAAAAAUUGGUACAGAACAGAUAUUUCAUGUUUGGUCUUUCUAACCUAUUUACCCCACUAAACCGAGGGGAAAAAGUUUUCUAUGAAAGGAUGGCAUAGUUUAAACCAGAUUCUCAACCAAACACAGCCUAAAAGAUUGUGCUUAUUGACAAUUGAAUUUGCACUUCUCUACUCUAUGCACCAUUAUUCACUUCAAUAUCAUCUGAAAAAUUAAAGAUCUGGACACCACACAAAAAAUAACCAAACAGGAAACUAGUCUAUUCUUGCAUCUUGUGCUAUUCUUCUCAUGAAAAUUGAGCACUAUUUGCAGAUGAUAAUCUAACAGAUGCAUAACUAAAGAAUUAGGACUGCAUAAAUUUCCCAAAAAAGGGACUCACAUGGACUAGUUACAUGAAAGUUCUUGUUCCUUUCAGAUUAAGAGACUGCUCUACAGCUACCACUAUGAUAUAUUUGCUUUUACACUAGCAAAUACAAACCUAUUAAUUCCUAUUUUCUUUGUAGAUCUUCUGUUCCGCCAUUAAGAGAGAUCAUGUUCUGUUUAUCAGUUCUGAAGCUAAAAAUUCUACACCAAUGAUUUGACAGGUUAGAAGCAGGAAAAAUACCAGAGCAUCCAGUGUCGCACUUCCAUAACAUCAAAUGCCAAACAGAAAGCAAUUUGAAUAGCAGGGGAGAUAUAAUGCACUAUCUUCCACCUCCAUCGGCUGCCUGAAUGGAUUUAUCUGAAUCUACAGCACAGGUUGCAUCACCAUCAUCAAAGCUUAAUUUCAGAUGAGCAUCAUCAGACAGAUAAAACAGGAGAACAAACAUACUGGUGGCUUGAGAGGUUGACAAGUCAUAGUGCUUAUGCAACGGGCACCAAGAUAUGCAGCUUCUUCGCAGAAGUCAGAAAAUACCGCUGGGACACCCAUCUCCUUGAUAAGUUUCUGAAAGACAUAGCAUGUGUAAGCUGUAUGCAACUUUUCAACUUACCUGCAGUAACUAGUGCAGCGUCUCUAAAACAUUGUACUGCAAGCAGCAAAGAUGCAAUGUUUGGUGAUUAUCUCGAAGUCCACGCAAUUUGAUGAUCAUUCAAAGUUUUUACACAAAUAACCAACUUGGAAAGAAGCAUGAAACAAAUCAACAAAUUCGAGGGCAUAGUGACCAAAUUUACGUACAUGAAAUACAGUAGUGAGGUCAUGCCAACUAUGCUUCUAUACAAGCAUGCAAAAUAGCAGUUCAUACAUAAAAUGUUAUUUGAAAUUGUAUAUAACUAUCACCACCCUCAGUAAUAACAAUACAAAAGAAAACUUAGAAACAGAGACUCCCGUGUGGGUUUCAAGGUGUUGAAGCAAGUUUGUGGAGAGCAAUACUGCUGUGCUUCUUCAGUUUCCCAUAGAGAGAACACUUCGAAAAGACAAUAACCAGAAAAUGAAUGAUAAUAGCUGAAUUUGUAUAUGAGCAGGCUACAAACAGUAGAAAUGUCGUGGGCAAGAAGAGAGCUUAGUGAUGGUAUCUUAAAGACAGCAAAUGACACAAAAAUACUGCAGUGCAAUCAGAGGCACAUAAGGUAACAAUAGACUCACAGUUUGCCCAUCACAGGCAUUGUAAGGCUGAUAGAUGGUAAGAUGAAUGAAAUUUUUAACAAGCUAAAGAUAAUGUGCAAAAUCAGGAAAAGGCUAACCAUUAUGUGAUCAAACUUUCAGCUCAGGCUUGAUUUGCACAUGGCACAGCUGGCUUAAGCAUUUUGGGGUGGUUUUACCAUCAAUCAAAUGAACCUAAAUCUGACAUUGUUUUGUCGAGAAAGUAGAUAUCCCAGAUAAUAGAAAUCUCAAUUUCAUAACAGUAAGAGGACUGAGGUCAUGCCAAACUGCAAGUCCUCCUUGAUUGAAUGAAUGUGAAAUAAGAUAAUACCUAGUAAUAAUCAGGUUGUCCAUAGAGCAAAAUUGGAAAAUACUAUCCCCUAUAGAGAUAUUUAAAUUAACAAAAAAUGGUUAGGCUUUGCUUCGAAAAGGGGGCCACCAAAACCAAAUUUCUCGAACAAGGCCCAAGGUUCUUAUUUGGGAGCAGAACUAGCUUGAUGAAGACAAAUAUGUUGAGAAAGACAAUUUAUUCUGGAAAGAACAAACUUUUAUCAAGUAGAAAUAUUGUACAGAUCCAAGACCUCCCCAUAAAUGGCUAGCCGGAAGGUAUUGUUUAUGUGCCUUGGCCCUGCAUAAGUACCUAAUAUCUUUCGAGCAGACAACCAAUGUAAGACUAAAUAUACGCCCGAACAAGUCUUCACAUACUCCCCCUACUUAAACCCUAGCAUCCUUGCAAGGUUAGGAGUCCAGAUCCAAUUAAAUACAAAUCAAAUCAAAUCCAAUCACAAAUAUUACAAUCAGCUUGUGGUUAGCCUCAAAAGGGCUAAUAUUGCAGUGUCUCCUAACCCACAUGGGUUAUAGGCCGGAUCCAUUCUGAUACCAUUUGUAGACACCCAGGUACUCACGAAAAUGGCUAGCUGGUAGGUAUCGUUUAAGAUCCUUGGCAUUGUAUAAGCACGCAAGAUCUCCUCAAAGCACAACUAAUGUGGGACUAAAUGCACACUUGCAUGGGUCCUCACAAAUGUGGUCUUCAUUCCUAACAAGUAGAGGAGCCCACCCAUGAAUUACAACAACAAUCAUCAACAGCCAAUAAUGGUCAUUUGAGCAUGGCCAAAAAUCUCCUCAUAAUCAAUAUGAUGCUCUUGAUUAAAUCCAAAUGCCACCAUCUUGUAAAACAUGAAGAAAACAUUUGGAUCCACAUUAUUAAGGGAUACUUGCAUAACAUAUGGAUCAUGAUCACUUUGGAAAGAAAUUAGAUACCAGGUCUGUGUGCAGCAGAUUGUAUUAAGCUUCUCAAUCUUAGCCUCCUUGUAAGAGAUAAGUAUGUGUACAACAAUCCAUAUGAACAUACAAAUGUAAAAGGACAAUGAAAACUCAAUUAAUUAGCACCAUUGAAGGUCAGAAAAGGCUUAGGAGUCAUUUGAUCACAGAUAAUUUUGAAAAUGCUAGCCGUGCCUAGGAGAAAUCAAAGAGGUAGUGUUGUCAUCUAUAGACACCUCAGCAGGACACUGCUGAAUGAAAAUGUUGAGAAAUGAGAUGUUGGGGAAUUCGCAAAAGGUCAAACCUCCAAAUAGAGGUAGAUAAGGAGCACAAGUGGGAUUCAGAAAAACUGAUGACUAUAGUUAGGAAGGACAUAAAGAUCAUGGAAGGUGUGGAAGUGAAAAAUAGGCAAAAGAGAGGAUGGCAACAUUUCAUGGGCAAGACCGCUGGUUAAAUACAUCAAAGAAAAUGGAGGCACACCCAUAAGACAAAAACCAAUUAAGCAACUUAUAUUUACUAGAAAGGUGAUAUCUACCAAUAAGAGGAGAGAGACUAAGAAAAUAGAGAAAGAGCGAAAGAGAAAAACUGAGCUCCUAUGGUGAAGGAAAAGCACCUCUGCAGUAUUGCUUCACUAGCGAGAAUUAAGGCAAUACGAGUGUCAUUGUUCCAGUGGUGGGAAUAGGGUGCAAGUAGCAGUGGAGCUGCAACUGGCAUGCAUGGAGAAGAAAUGGGAGGGCCCAGGUUUCAGGAAUGAAGAUAGACCAAUGGAUAUCGAUUUAUGGACGUCUAUUGGCAAGCUUAAGGCAAAGCCAUGAAGGAGAAGGGGGUACAAAAAUUAUCGCAAACAAAGAGCAGUAAGGAAGCUAGGGUUUUCGUUUAAAGGGGAUGUAGCAUUACUUUAUAGGUCAAGGCCAUCCAUCGAAAAGCAAAUUAUAUGGCUGUUGGAACAUCUGGAAAGGGCGUUAACUGUGGAGGGUUUUUUUCCUUUUUCUUUUGUAGUAGAAAAGCAGUGCGAUGCAAGUUCUAUGGAAUGCUAUGAAAUAUUCUACAAAUGGGACUCACCAUGCUCUCCCAAGACCCAUAAUGCUCCACUGAGGUGCUUAUGAAGUUGGGUGGUUUAGUCCUAAAUGGAUAAGAAUGCGGCAGAUGCUUCCCAGAAGCCUGUGGUCCCAGUAAGAAGUUUGGGUCCUGUCAUCCUUGUUUUGUUUUCUGCCUUCUAUUUGUCUUUCUUGUUUAGUUACUUUCCUUAUUGCAUUUCUUUAAUAAUACUUUAGGUGGGAGGCUUCCACCUCUCUCCUUAUUCUCAAAAAAAAGUAUCUAAUAUAAAACAUAUAUAUGAUGUAUAUUAAUGCUACACAUGUAUAAAUUUUGUAACAUACAUGUUCACUGUUUAUGAAGGAUUCAGCUUGAAUCCAAGCUCAAGCCUAAACAGGAGAUGCCCAAACCCAGCCCCAAAGCAACCAGGCCUUGACUUUCUACUCAUUGGAGAAACACUGGUGACUACUUAGUGGUUUUGUUAACUAUAACACUCAUCUCAUUUCUUUGUUUGAACUUUGCAUUAUAGCACCUCCAAUCUAGAUAAUUCUUGUACCUUCUCUGGAGCAGAGCAUCAUUUGGUAAAAUUCAACCCUCUGGAACAUCAUUUCGUAAAAGUCAACCCUCUGCAUAUACUACAUUCUUAAUGACCAAUCUGGUUUUUUAAAGCAAAACUUGUAUGAUCCAACAAAGUUUCAGGGAGGCAUUUGCAAGAGUAUCAGGGGAAAAAAUUGCACUUACAUCUUAACAUUUAUUCUAAUAUUAAACCCAAACUCCAAACUGCCUCUUUGUUUGUGAGCCUUCAAGUCAUUUGUCUCCAGAUCUCUCCCUCUUCAAACCACUAUAACAAAACCCAUCUUAAAUUAAAAUGCCCCUCUUACUUCUUGCUCAUGGGAGAGAAAAAAGGAGAUGUGCACCUCCCAAAAUUGCGGGGUGUAAUUAUCAAUAUCCAGGUUAGGUGAUAACAACCAUGGAUACUACCUCCCAUGUGCAUUGCAUGGGCUAGAUUCUAGUGCUUAUUGUACUAUCCAUAUUUACAGUCUUUUUUUUCUUGCUCAUGCAUAUUAUAAUCAUUCUUUGUAUGACAAAGUUCAUAUAUAGGUGAUAUAUAAAAACCGUAGAUUGUGUCAUUCAAUCAUUGGGCAUCAGUCCUUUAUAUAGUAUACAUUGUGACUCAUGCCCUAAUAAAACACUGUUUUCACUCCAAUAAAUGCUUGUAGUUUCUUGAUGCAUAAGGUAUUUUGUUCUUCCUUCAGAAAAGAACAGCAAGUGCAAUUUUGUCAUUACAAAUUUGGAACACAAGAAGCAUCAAGUACAUGACAGAUCCUA